GCAGGUGCUCCACCCUGGGGAUACAACAUGACCGUGCCAGAUGGGGCAUCUGCCCUCACGGAAGUCACAGUCGACCUGUGGGGAUGAGCUUAAGAGGACAACUCCAACGUUGACGAGGUGUGCAACCUUGGGUGGAGGAGGGACCAUGAGCCACAGGAUGCAGGCAGCCUCUGAAAGCUGGAGAAGGCCCAGAAACAGUUUUCUUCCCAGCACUCCCAGAAGGGCCACAGCCCAGCUGACACCUUAAUUUUAGCCUGUGGGCUCCCCUCUCGGCAUGGAGUCCAACGUGGGACUCGAACUCACAACCCUGAGAUCACGAUUUGAGCUGAGAUCAAGAGUUGGACGUGUAACUGACUGAGCCACGCAGGUGCCUCAUGUGGGGUUGCAGUUCAGUCCUCAUUGUAAGCUUCUGGGCUGGGGCCUGUUAGCCCCAUUUUACAGAAGGAUCAAGUGGGCCCAAGGUCACACACUCCCAGAGGAUGGCAGAGAGGGGCUAGGGGUUGGGACCACGGGAGCAAACAGCUCAUCAUGUGAGAGAACAGGGUGGGGCACAGAAUCGCACCUACAUGUCGUCCAGCCCUCCACCUGAGGCUGGGAGAAUGCGGGGGAGAGUGGGGAAGGGAGGGUGCAGGCCAGCACCAAGGCAGGCCCCAGCCUCAGCCCCAAGGGGAUGGACAGGAGGAAAGACUAAGUAGGAUGCAGAUAAGAGGUGGGGGGGUGUCUAGGGAAGAGGAGGGGCCCAAGGAGAAGGUUUACAUAGACCACUCUGGAAAAGGAGAGCCCAGCGGGGUGGGGGUCAUGGGUUCACAGUGGCAUCUCUAGGGUGUUAUUUCUACUGCCCCAUUCAGCCAGGGCCCAGUGGCUUAAGAUGGUUGAGUUUGGAGGGAAGGGGACAUCCUCAGUAUGCAGUUAGAGCACUAGGUCUACAUGGGAAAGGGGAGAAACCAAGGCCAUGGAGAAAGGGUCUGUCUUGAUCUUCGUUCCCUCCCCACAUCCCUAGGCACCCGGUAUGCUACUGUCUUACUGAGGUCUACCCUGGAUGAUUGGUUUGUUCUGGCUGCCGUAACAAAGCAGCCUAGUCUGGGUGGUUUAGGAACAACAGAAAUCUAUUUUCUCACAUUGAGAGCAUCAGAUAAACCUAUCUUAUUUGUUUGUUUAAAGAUUUUAUUUUUAAGUAAUCUCCACAUGCAACGUGGGGCUCAAACCCACAACCCCAAGAUCUCAAGAGUCACAUACUCCACCGACUGAGCCAGCCAGGCACCCCUAAAUAAAUGUUUGAUAUUAUUAUAUGUAUAUGAAGGUACAUUUUAAGUAAAAUCAUUUUAUUAUUAAAAAAAAGUACUUCUUCAUGGUUUGUUCUGGAGGCAAGGACCCCAAGAUCAAGGUGUUGGCAGGGCUGAUUCUUUCUGAGGCGUCCCUCCUUGGCUUGCAGAUGGCCACCUUCUCCCUGUGUCCCCACACGGUCUUCCUUCUGUGUGCAUCUGUGUCCUAUUUUCCCCUUUUUAUAAGGACACCAGUCAUUGGAUUAGGGCCCACCCUAAUGGCCUCAUUUUAGCUUGAUCACCUCUUCAGAGGCCCUCCCUUCAAAUACAGUCACAUCCCAAGGCCCUGCAGGUUAGGGCUGUGACACAUGAAUUUUGGAGGGGUCACACAGUUCAGUCCGUCCCCCUAGGUAAGCCCGCUGGGUUUCAGCAGGGGUGGGCAGAGGCACUCAGGUGGACCUUGUCACGCAUGGGCACUGCCCAGCCUCUGCAGUUAAGGAGGCAAGAUUCUGUGGUGGAUGGGGCUGGCCUAGAGCCCCUGUGGGAGGAUGGAGAGCCAUACAUCAGGGGCUCAAGCCUGGCGAGGGGCCCCCUGGACGUCCACAGAGUCUGUACAGAUGAGCUACAGCUGGCACAGGAGCAGGCGAGGGGAUCCAGGAGCAGCUGGGGGCACUGGCCGUCUUCCCAGAGCAGCCCUCCUACCCCCAGCAGCAAGGGGUUUGCUGGGCUCACACCAAGGGAAGCCCCACUGGACACACGCUCUCCUUCGUCCUUCCCUCUGUGCCCCUGCAUGGGGCCUUGCUCUGCCUAGACUCCCGCCUCCCUCCUUUCCCCUGGCCAACAUCGCCAGUCCCUUCGCCCAGCAAUGCAGUCAGCCUCUUCCCACAGAUGAGCUUGGUGCUGCGAUGAGAACCAUAGUGAGACCCCAGCAGCUGCCAGCACGAGCCCUGCUCUCCCCAGUCGCUGUGGCUCCCUGAGGGGCUGGCUGAGUCUUAUCACCCCCCGUGCCCAGCACAGGGCCUGGCAGCCAGUAGGCGUCAGGGGUUUGCUGGCCGAAGGAGCAAGAAGCAGGCCCUUCCCUGGAGGACCAGCCCCCCUAAGCCCCCAGCCCAGGUUUGUCACGUUCUGGCACGGCCUGCCCCUGUCCCCCCCGCCAAUGAAUCAGGCCACCAACGCUGGGGUCCAUUUCACGGCUGGUGAGCAAGGUGGGCACUCCACUCUUGCCCCAGCCCAGUGACCACACAGACGACGCUAGGGGUAUUGCCAACAUGGCUGUCACAGGGCAGCAGCAGCAAGGAGCUGGAGGGGGGUGCCCCUAACUCACCCCUCCUGUCACGGGUCCUAUCCCCUGCUGCCCCAUGCUUUGUGAGUGAGCUAGCUUAGUCCCCGCCCAUUGACCAGUGUCCUUAGCCUACCAUCUGCCUCAUCUUCCCCGUGCAGGGACCCAGAGUCCAG